rfam:Schistosoma haematobium scaffold119_13, whole genome shotgun sequence.
AUCCAGCUAACGAGUUCCAAAUAGGAUGAAACGCGCAUCCUGGAU